rnacentral:rRNA from 1 species
GAUGAACGCUGGCGGCGUGCCUAACACAUGCAAGUCGAGCGAUCUUCUUCGGAAGAGAGCGGCGGACGGGUGAGUAACGCGUGGGUAACCUGCCCUGUACACACGGAUAACAUACCGAAAGGUAUGCUAAUACGAGAUAAUAUGCUUUUAUCGCAUGAUAGUAGUAUCAAAGCUUUUUCGGUACAGGAUGGACCCGCGUCUGAUUAGCUAGUUGGAGGGGUAACGGCCCACCAAGGCGACGAUCAGUAGCCGGUCUGAGAGGAUGGACGGCCACACUGGGACUGAGACACGGCCCAGACUCCUACGGGAGGCAGCAGUGGGGAAUCUUCCGCAAUGGACGAAAGUCUGACGGAGCGACGCCGCGUGAGUGAUGAAGGCCCUUGGGUCGUAAAGCUCUGUCAUCAGGGACGAACGGUCACGUCAGGAAAUGGGCGUGAAUUGACGGUACCUGAGAAGGAAGCCACGGCUAACUACGUGCCAGCAGCCGCUGUAAAAC